rnacentral:misc_RNA from 1 species
GAUUGUAGGUAAGUGAACAACACAUACAAGAAAGGGUGAGAUUAGAGGGUGUGAUAAAAAGAAAAAGAAAGGAAAAAAAAAAAAGAUUUUUUAAACAAAACUGAAUGUAAAUGGGUUAACAGUCCAAUAUUUGCAAGUUCUUUGGCGAGUACAUCUCUGGUAUGGAAUGCUUCAUGAGCUGCUGCCGUUGCUUUUCAUUUCCAAGUUUGUAGCUAGAAUUACUCGUUUGCCGCUUCUUGUGAUCUCCGCUUCUUUGAUCGCGAUUGUCUUCACCACUUUCAGUUCUGUAGUGUGCCAGCCUCAUGGAGGUUUCAGGGUUUGACGAAACUUGCUCUUUGGUCACCAG